CCUACGGGUGGCUGCAGUCGAGGAUCUUCGGCAAUGGGGGCAACCCUGACCGAGCGACGCCGCGUGCGCGAUGAAGGCCUUCGGGUUGUAAAGCGCUUUAGUGGGGGAGAAAAGCCGAAAGGUGUGAUCUAUCCCAAAAAUAAGCACGGGCUAAGUUCGUGCCAGCAGCCGCGGUAAGACGAACCGUGCGAACGUUGUUCGGAAUCACUGGGCUUAAAGGGCGCGUAGGCGGGCUGUCAAGUCUGGGGUGAAAUCCCGCGGCUCAACCGCGGCACUGCCUCAGAUACUGACGGCCUCGAGGGAGGUAGGGGCGUGCGGAACUGUAGGUGGAGCGGUGAAAUGCGUUGAUAUCUACAGGAACUCCGGUGGCGAAAGCGGCGCGCUGGACCUCUUCUGACGCUGAGGCGCGAAAGCUAGGGGAGCAAACGGGAUUAGAUACCCUUGUAGUC
rnacentral:rRNA from 1 species